GCUCUGUGAUGAUCCCCCAUGCGUGUCAUCUGAGCCCGGAGGCCCCCUCCCACCCGGACCCCGGGGGCGUUCUGCCCCCGGGGCCGUCGGCGGGGCUGGGGGCUUUCGGGCACGUGAUCAGACCCGUGAGC